CCGGCAUGCCUAUGACAAGCUGCGGGGGCUGCAGAUCCCUGCCAGGAUCCAGAAGUCCAUUGAGCUGGGCACCCUGACCAUCCGCUCCAAGCCCUUCCAUGACAGUGAGGAGCUGGUUCCCUUGUGCUACCGCUGUUCUACCAACAACCCACUGUUGAACAACCUUGGCAAUGUCUGCAUCAACUGCCGCCAGCCCUUCAUCUUCUCCGCCUCUUCCUACGGUGAGCCCUCCCACUGCUUUACAGACAUGGGGCAUUGUGCAGAAGGUGAUGCCACCAUGCCGUAGAUACAGAAUUGCUGUCAGAAUCCACAGAGGCAAGGCCCAACAUGUCCCAACCAGAAGUCCCACUCUCAUUAUAAUGACAAGCUGGGUCCAUUGUUCAGUCUGAGAGGCUGAGGGAGCAGUCCUGGCCUACCUCUUUCAAAACAGCCACUGUGGGGGAGAGGGGCUGCUGGGGACCUGGUCCUCUCACAUGCACUGUGCCCCUUGCCUGC
rnacentral:lncRNA from 1 species